UCUGAAUAAAUAGGAAUAAAUACUUGCCCAUGUUAAAAUCUGACAUAAAUAAGAAUAAAUAGCGGAUUAAAAGUCUGAACAGAGAAUAACGUCGCUGCCCCUUUAAGGAACCAGCGUCACAGACGCGACGCCUGGGUGACGCUGCGGUGCACAAACCAGAGGGAGAGAGCAGAGGAGGAAUCGGAGGAAAAGAGCAGUUGAUUGAUUAACGGAAAAAAAGUUAAUAUUAUAGUUAAGAAGACAUAAUUUACCUGGUCGGAAACUGACGGGGAUUUUAUGAGAACUAAGUUACAUCGGUUUUGGUCAGGUUUUUUUGUUCGGUUGGAAGCUCGGUCGGAGCGAAGAUUGGUCUGCCGUGUGCGACGUCCACAUUCACAGACGGGAUUCAAGAUGGCGAGCCAGACCUAGACCUUCAAUUCAUCUUCUCCAUCAUAUCAGGGAGGGACUCUCCUGCGUAUGAUAAUUCGCUGCCGGAGCGGUAGGAACUUCAGGAACUAGUUCAAACCGAACUGGACAGGAUUAAGAACUGAUUUAAGAACUGGUGAAAUUAUUAUUAUUUUUCUGGACUGAAUCAAAACUGAAGCUUUUCAUUGAACUGAGAACCUGAACUCACAUUUGGACUUGAACUUGAGUUUAAAGUGUCAUACUUAAAUUUUCAUAUGUUAUGUCUCUGAAUGUGAAUUGAAUAAUUGUGGUCCACUUUGAUUUGUUUGAGGGUAUUUCCUUACCUGUG